GUAAGUGUGGAGAUGAAAACCAGGUGUGUGAUGUGACAGAGAACGGCCAUUCAGGGGGAGGCACCAAACAUUCUCUACUGUGGCUGAUAUUCCCAGGCAGGAGUGAAAGAAGAUAUCCAUCAGACAACUAUGAACUUCUGUCCCAUUACCUGGCCGCGCAGCCUGUGGCCUCUUGUGCUCACGGCGACCACGAAGGGAUCCGGAGUGGACUUCUCUCCUUCACCUGAACUCUACGAGGAACUGGAGCCUUGGUACCAGCAGAGGCCCCUGGCACUCGUCUGCCUCCUUGGAGAGUCCAGAUGAAUUUGGGGGACAUGGAUUCAAGCCCUGGUCCGGGAAGAUCCCACAUGCCGCGGAGCAACUAAGCCCGUGCACCACAACUACUGAGCCUGCGCUCUAGAGCCCGCGAGCCACAACUACUGAGCCCACGUGCCACAACUAUUGAAGUCCAUGCGCCUAGAGCCCGUGCUCUGCAACAAGAGAAGCCACCGAAAUGAGAAGCCCACACACCACAACGAAGAGUAGCCCCCGCUCGCCACAACCAGAGAAAGCCGGCGUGCAGCAAUGAAGACCCAAUGCAGCCAAAAAUAAAUAAAUAAAUUUAUUAAA